rnacentral:rRNA from 1 species
AACGAACGCUGGCGGCAGGCUUAACACAUGCAAGUCGAGCGCCCCGCAAGGGGAGCGGCAGACGGGUGAGUAACGCGUGGGAAUCUACCCAUCUCUACGGAAUAACGCAUGGAAACGUGUGCUAAUACCGUAUACGUCCUUCGGGAGAAAGAUUUAUCGGAGAUGGAUGAGCCCGCGUUGGAUUGGCUAGUUGGUGGGGUAAGGGCCUACCAAGGCGACGAUCCAUAGCUGGUCUGAGAGGAUGAUCAGCCACACUGGGACUGAGACACGGCCCAGACUCCGACGGGAGGCAGCAGUGGGGAAUAUUGGACAAUGGGCGCAAGCCUGAUCCAGCCAUGCCGCGUGAGUGAUGAAGGCCCUAGGGUUGUAAAGCUCUUUCACCGGUGAAGAUAAUGACGGUAACCGGAGAAGAAGCCCCGGCUAACUUCGUGCCAGCCGCCGCCGUAACAC